UGGGGAAUUUUGGACAAUGGGCGAAAGCCUGAUCCAGCAAUGCCGCGUGCAGGAUGAAGGCCUUCGGGUUGUAAACUGCUUUUGUACGGAACGAAAAAGCUUCUCCUAAUACGAGAGGCCCAUGACGGUACCGUAAGAAUAAGCACCGGCUAACUACGUGCCAGCAGCCGCGGUAAUACGUAGGGUGCGAGCGUUAAUCGGAAUUACUGGGCGUAAAGCGUGCGCAGGCGGUUAUGUAAGACAGAUGUGAAAUCCCCGGGCUCAACCUGGGAACUGCAUUUGUAACUGCAUGGCUAGAGUACGGUAGAGGGGGGAUGGAAUUCCGCGUNUAGCAGUGAAAUGCGUAGAUAUGCGGAGGAACACCGAUGGCGAAGGCAAUCCCCUGGACCUGUACUGACGCUCAUGCACGAAAGCGUGGGGAGCAAACAGGAUUAGAUACCCCUGGUAGUCCACGCCCUAAACGAUGUCAACUGGCUUGUUGGGGAAUUAGUUUUCUCAGUAACGAAGCUAACGCGUGAAGUU
rnacentral:rRNA from 1 species